UACGUAGGGGGCAAGCGUUGUCCGGAUUUAUUGGGCGUAAAGCGCGCGCAGGUGGUUUCUUAAGUCUGAUGUGAAAGCCCACGGCUCAACCGUGGAGGGUCAUUGGAAACUGGGAGACUUGAGUGCAGAAGAGGAAAGUGGAAUUCCAAGUGUAGCGGUGAAAUGCGUAGAGAUUUGGAGGAACACCAGUGGCGAAGGCGACUUUCUGGUCUGUAACUGACGCUGAGGCGCGAAAGCAUGGGGAGCAAGCAGG
rnacentral:rRNA from 1 species